GAUGAACGCUGGCGGCGUGCCUAACACAUGCAAGUCGAACGAAGCACCUUUUAAGAUUCUUCGGAUGAUUGAUUGGUGACUGAGUGGCGGACGGGUGAGUAACGCGUGGGUAACCUGCCCUGUACAGGGGGAUAACAGUUGGAAACGGCUGCUAAUACCGCAUAAGCGCACGAGAGGACAUCCUCUUGUGGGACAAACUCCGGUGGUACAGGAUGGGACCGGGUCUGAUUAGCUGGUUGGCAGGGUAACGGCAUACCAAGGCGACGAUCAGUAGCCGGUCUGAGAGGAUGAACGGCCAAAUUGGAACUGAGACACGGUCCAAACUCCUACGGGAGGCAGCAGUGGGGAAUAUUGCACAAUGGGGGAAACCCUGAUGCAGCAACGCCGCGUGAGUGAAGAAGUAUUUCGGUAUGUAAAGCUCUAUCAGCAGGGAAGAUAAUGACGGUACCUGACUAAGAAGCUCCGGCUAAAUACGUGCCAGCCGCCGCCGUAA
rnacentral:rRNA from 1 species